CACAGCAAGGUGCACACCCGGACUUCCCCAUGCUUUCCUGUGUGAUCUGAGCCCUUAUUUUGGGGUAUUGUCACUGUGAUAUUUCCAGCUGUGGUGAGGAGGGUUCUGUGUCUACUCAACCACACCCCUCUGCCCACACGGGUACCUUCCCAGGCUCCGAAUCAUGGCAGUAACAAUGACCAUGCUGAGCACCUUCCAGAUUGCCCCUCUAUUCCCCAUCCUCUCCGUACUUUGAUUUUUUUUUUGAGGAGUACUAUUUAUUUAUUGGUUUGCUCUUCAUAGAUUUAUAACCUUGCUUUCUUAUCCAGGACCAACUGCCCCGUGGAAACACCAAUCUAUCAGGCUGUUCCCUAGCACACCACGUCAAUCGCUCAUCAAGAAAAUGUCUCACACACUUUUCUACGGACCAGUCUGAUGAAGGCAAUUUCUCAACCGAGAUUCCUUCUUCCCAGUUACGUCCAGGGAGGAGACAGAGGCACAGAGGAAACCCUCCACUAAGGCGUCUCAAUGAGCAGAUGGCAGGGCACGCCCAUGACUUCGGGAUGACUCCGAAAGGAGCACUGCCUCCUAGCUUUCUGUCCGAAAGGAGCACUGCCUCCCUGCUUUCUGUCCCCAGCAGGCCCAGCACUGCCCCGGUGGCCCCAGAAGUGACAUCCUCAAACUCUGGUACAUCCGAGGAAACCAAGUCCCUUAAAAAACAUUAAAGGCUUCUGGUUCCGCUACGAUUGGAGCGGAAUAAAAAUGUCCCCAGACCGGGUGUUGGUGCAGCUUACACCAUCUGACUCCUGAAUUGGCACAAAGUGCUGAAUGUGUGUUUGGGGCCUUGAUGGUGAGUUCGGUAAACUGCCUUCAGGACACUGAAUGUGGGAAACUGCACAGCUCAGCUUAAGUGCAGCCAUAACCUCGGGUUGGGGUUUCUUAACCCCCAAGCCUGGGAAAACGGGACUGCGACUCUGACGGGGAACAAGAAGUCAGCAUUUUGACAAAACCCCCUUCUGAUCACUUUGUCCUCCGGCCGGCUGUCCAGCCCGUUAGCUCAAUUAUUAGUGACCUAUGAGUCAGCAAGAGAGUCACAGUUUCCCGGCCCUUCUAGCCCUUUCCCCAGAAUAUACAGGCUUCGAGACCAGCAGUAAACUCAUCCAAAUAAAACAACCUA